rnacentral:rRNA from 1 species
GCAGUGCUGCAUGGGCGCAGCCUGAUGCAGCCAUGCCGCGUGUAUGAAGAAGGCCUUCGGGUUGUAAAGUACUUUCAGCAGUGAGGAAGGGGGUGUCGUUAAUAGCGGCAUCUCUUGACGUUAGCUGCAGAAGAAGCACCGGCUAACUCCGUGCCAGCAGCCGCGGUAAUACGGAGGGUGCGAGCGUUAAUCGGAAUUACUGGGCGUAAAGCGCAUGCAGGUGGUUUGUUAAGUCAGAUGUGAAAGCCCGGGGCUCAACCUCGGAACUGCAUUUGAAACUGGCAAACUAGAGUACUGUAGAGGGGGGUAGAAUUUCAGGUGUAGCGGUGAAAUGCGUAGAGAUCUGAAGGAAUACCAGUGGCGAAGGCGGCCCCCUGGACAGAUACUGACACUCAGAUGCGAAAGCGUGGGGAGCAAACAGGAUUAGAUACCCUGGUAGUCCACGCCGUAAACGAUGUCUACUUGGAGGUUGUGGCCUUGAGCCGUGGCUUUCGGAGCUAACGCGUUAAGUAGACCGCCUGGGGAGUACGGUCGCAAGAUUAAAACUCAAAUGAAUUGACGGGGGCCCGCACAAGCGGUGGAGCAUGUGGUUUAAUUCGAUGCAACGCGAAGAACCUUACCUACUCUUGACAUCCAGAGAACUUUCCAGAGAUGGAUUGGUGCCUUCGGGAACUCUGAGACAGGUGCUGCAUGGCUGUCGUCAGCUCGUGUUGUGAAAUGUUGGGUUAAGUCCCGCAACGAGCGCAACCCUUAUCCUUGUUUGCCAGCGAGUAAUGUCGGGAACUCCAGGGAGACUGCCGGUGAUAAACCGGAGGAAGGUGGGGACGACGUCAAGUCAUCAUGGCCCUUACGAGUAGGGCUACACACGUGCUACAAUGGCGCAUACAGAGGGCAGCCAACUCGCGAGAGUGAGCGAAUCCCAAAAAGUGCGUCGUAGUCCGGAUUGGAGUCUGCAACUCGACUCCAUGAAGUCGGAAUCGCUAGUAAUCGUAGAUCAGAAUGCUACGGUGAAUACGUUCCCGGGGCCUUGUACACACCGGCCCGUCACACCAUGGGGAGGUGGGGCUGCAAAAGGAGUGGGUAGGUUAACCUUUCGGGAGGACGCCUCACCCACUUUGGUGGUUUCAUGACUGGGGGGUGGAAGUCGUACCACACAGAGGGUACACAA